rnacentral:rRNA from 1 species
UACGGAGGGUGCGAGCGUUGUUCGGAAUCACUGGGCGUAAAGGGCGCGUAGGCGGCCUGGUAAGUAGGGGGUGAAAUCUUGCGGCUCAACUGCAAGGCUGCCUCCUAAACUGCCGGGCUGGAGCACGGUAGAGGCAGAUGGAAUUCCCGGUGUAGCGGUGGAAUGCGUAGAGAUCGGGGAAGAACAUCGGUGGCGAAGGCGGUCUGCUGGGCCGUUGCUGACGCUGAGGCGCGACAGCGUGGGGAGCAAACAGGG